AGGGUUCACACUGGAAUCAAGCCUAUCAGUGUGGUGAUUGUAAGAAAACAUUUACACAUUCAAGUAACCUGCCCGUUCAUUCAAGGAUUCUCUGUGAAAUCAAGCUGUAUGAGUGCGCUGAAUAAAUGUGGGCGAAAAAGGCACAUGCGAAAUCAUAGUGGUGUGAAGCCUUUUCUAUGAGGUGAAUGUGGGAAAACAUUUACCUUGCCUUGCUUGUCUCAUUCCAGACCAGAGAAACCGAAUUAUCUGUUUCAUAUUAAGACUUCUGCUGAAAUAUGUGGUCAACUUUAGAUACUGACUACCUGUUGACAAAGCUGCUCUGGUUUGAGCUCAAAUUAGCUUGUGCAACCAAUGGUUAUAAGCAGACUGCACCCAGUGUAUUCAGGACAAUAACUCAUAAACUGCAUAGAUACCAUUUACGCAAGAUCUUAAGUUCUUAACAAACAAUAACGUUCAAUUCUUAUGAUGUUUAUGUUAACAAGCUGUUUAUGUGUAUACUACAGAUCACCAAAUAGCCCCAGUCAAAUCCCUCUUCAUCGUAUAUAUUUACAUCCUCAUUCAUUCCUUGAAGGAAAACACAAAGCGACAACAAGUCAAAGUAUUUUGUUUACUCUAGAGCCUUAAACAGGAAGCCAGAUAUACAUCAGCACAAAUCCAUUCAUGGACACAAAAUGACCGAAGUAAAACUAGAGGCAGUUCCAAUCAUGAUUGAAGCUGACAGAAGAGAACACUUGACAAAAGCUAUCAGUCUAUGUCUAUUGGUGUUUUAUACUGUUUUGCAAAUUGUAUUUUGUAGCGAAGCUCAUCAUUCUUUUGUUCAGGUUGUAUUAGUAUAAGCGGGUUUUUUCCUUUUUAACAGAUCUAUGUUUUUGUCUGAAAAUAGAUAUUAAAGAAAUAACUAUAAAA